AUUGAACGCUGGCGGCAGGCCUAACACAUGCAAGUCGAACGAGUGGCGGACGGGUGAGUAAUGUCUGGGAAAAUGCCUGAUGGAGGGGGCAAACUACUGGAAACGGUAGGUAAUACCGCAUACCAUAAGAUGUGCCCAGAUGGGAUGAGCUUGUUGGGUGGGUAACGGCUCACCAAGGCGACGAUCCCUAGCUGGUCUGAGAGGAUGACCAGCCACGCUGGAACUGAGACAAGGUCCAGACUCCGACGUGAGUCAGCAGUGGGGAAUAUGUCACAAUGGGCGCAAGCCUGAUGCAGCCAUGCCGCGUGUAUGAAGAAGGCCUUCGGGUUGUAAAGUACUUUCAGCGGGGAGGCGUUACCCGCAGAAGAAGCAACGGCUAACCCCGUGCCAGCAGCCGCGGUAAUUC
rnacentral:rRNA from 1 species